rnacentral:rRNA from 1 species
AAGACCUUGCGCUUUUGGAGCGGCCGAUGCCUGAUUAGCUUGUUGGUAAGGUAAAAGCUUACCAAGGCUUCGAUCAGUAGCUGGUCUGAGAGGACGGCCAGCCACACUGGGACUGAGACACGGCCCAGACUCCUACGGGAGGCAGCAGUGGGGAAUUUUGGACAAUGGGCGCAAGCCUGAUCCAGCCAUGCCGCGUGAGUGAAGAAGGCCUUCGGGUUGUAAAGCUCUUUCAGCCGGGAAGAAAAGGCUACGACGAAUAAUCGUAGCUCAUGACGGUACCGGAAGAAGAAGCACCGGCUAACUACGUGCCAGCAGCCGCGGUAAUACGUAGGGUGCGAGCGUUAAUCGGAAUUACUGGGCGUAAAGCGUGCGCAGGUGGUUUUGUAAGUCAGAUGUGAAAGCCCCGGGCUCAACCUGGGAACU